GUGUCAGCAGCCGCGGUAAUACGUAGGCAGCGAGCGUUGUUCGGAGUUACUGGGCGUAAAGCGUGCGUAGGCGGUUUUGUAAGUUUGGUGUGAAAUCUCCCGGCUCAACUGGGAGGGUGCGCCGAAAACUGCAAGGCUGGAGUAUGGGAGAGGUAGGCGGAAUUCCUGGUGUAGCGGUGAAAUGCGUAGAUAUCAGGAGGAACACCUGUGGUGUAGACGGCUUACUGGACCAUGACUGACGCUGAGGCACGAAAGCGUGGGGAGCAAACAGGAUUAGAUACCCUGGUAGUCCACGCCCUAAACGAUGCAUACUUGGUGUGGGUAAUUCAUUUUAUCCGUGCCGGAGCUAACGCGUUAAGUAUGCCGCCUGGGGAGUACGGUCGCAAGGCUGAA
rnacentral:rRNA from 1 species